ACGAUGGUAAUGAAUUGGCCCGAUCGAUUUGUGUGGGGAGCUUCCGGUAGGCAACACUUGCGAGUCCAUUAGGAUCUACAACUGCGUAUUAUGUUCAAGGCAAUGGGGCACCGCUUACAGGAGCUAAUGAUCCUUUUCUUCUUAGCAAUCUUCUCCAAGGCGGCCGAGGGCCUCAAGCCUUGCAGGGCAAUCGUUGCACCGGAUGCAGCUAAUAAUAAUUAUUGCCUCAGCUGGAGGUUGGCAGUGGAGGCCAAUAAUGUGCGAGGAUGGUGGACUGUCCCUGCUCGAUGCUUGCACUAUGUUGAAGCUUACAUGGUGGGUGGGCAAUAUGAUAGGGACAUUGACUUAAUUACAGAGCAGAUUUUGAGCUAUGUGAGUGGGAUUGUUCUCUCCGGCGAUGGUAUGGAUGCCUGGAUUCUUGACGUUG
rnacentral:misc_RNA from 1 species